GACGAACCGUGCGAACGUUGUUCGGAAUCACUGGGCUUAAAGGGCGCGUAGGCGGGCCCUCCAGUCAGGGGUGAAAUCUUCCGGCUCAACCGGAAAAGUGCCCCUGAUACUGAGGGUCUCGAGGGGUGUAGGGGCAUGUGGAACUUCCGGUGGAGCGGUGAAAUGCGUAGAUAUCGGAAGGAACGCCGGUGGCGAAAGCGACGUGCUGGACACCUUCUGACGCUGAGGCGCGAAAGCCAGGGGAGCAAACGGG
rnacentral:rRNA from 1 species